UACGAAGGGGGCUAGCGUUGCUCGGAAUCACUGGGCGUAAAGGGUACGUAGGCGGGUCUUUAAGUCAGGGGUGAAAUCCUGGAGCUCAACUCCAGAACUGCCUUUGAUACUGAGGAUCUUGAGUUCGGGAGAGGUGAGCGGAACUGCGAGUGUAGAGGUGAAAUUCGUAGAUAUUCGCAAGAACACCAGUGGCGAAGGCGGCUCACUGGCCCGAUACUGACGCUGAGGCACGAAAGCGUGGGGAGCAAACAGG
rnacentral:rRNA from 1 species